ACACUAUAGAUGGUGAACUGUCAGGGCAGGGCAAAGCCAACGGGAAACUCUGGUGGAGGCCCACCGUGGUCCUGACAUGCAAAUCAGUCACCCGACCUGGGCAUAGGGACAAAACCAUCUAGUAGAUGG
rfam:Danio rerio chromosome 14, GRCz11 reference primary assembly.